rnacentral:lncRNA from 1 species
CUAUUUUUGUAGACUAAUUUACCAUUAACAGCAAAUCCCUAAGAUUUACUCAACCAGUACAGCAGUCGUUGGCCAGAGUUCAAAUUUCUGAUUCGAAGGAAUCUGAGUUCUGCCUGCCAGUAUUGAAUAUUAAUGGCUUCCUCCAUCCAGGAGCUGUGUCUUUGCUCACUACGGAACAGUGUUGAGGCUUUGAAUGGGGCAUUUUGCUGGUCACCUCCUGGUCGUCCUUCUGCUCACCAAGAGCAGAUACUGUUCUCAGCCCCUUACAUUUACAAGGUCGUUUAAUUCUCACACAGUCCUUUCGGAUAGACACUACUAUCAUCCCCAUUUUACAGAGGAGGAGACUGAGAGGCAGAGGACAUAGGUGAAUUGUCUGAGAUCGCAGGGCUGGCCGUGGAGCUGGGACUUGCACCCGGCCAGCCCGGCUCCAGAGUUUACUACCCUCCUCCUGUACAGCAAGUGCGACCUACACUAAUCACCGCCCAAACAGGCAGGCACUGCAGACAGCUAAGCACACUUCAUACGACUUAAGCACGCAGGAAGGUUAGUUUUCAUUCUGGUGUUCAGCUCAGUUAGGACUCUGUUUUUAUCGCCACAAAGAUGCACGACCCAGAAAGCACAGUCACGUGCCGUUGCCUUCUACGGUCACGGUUUUCUACUUUUUGGCCUCAUUUUCCUGCCCGCUUGGCCUGCUGGGAUGUGAAUGAUGCGUUACUUCUUCUACAGAAUGCAGGACGUGAGAGAGCUUUCGGUUCCCUCCCCACAAGGCGAGUGUGCAUCUUCCACUGCACCCCAAAGCUGCUGCCUGCUUCUCCUCUGUUUUCAUAACCUGGGAUGCCUUCCUCUGAGGUCUGCUUCACAAGAAUGGAUUCAUCACUUCAAUUUGCAAAGUCACAGUUGGGUGGACAUUCCGGUCAAGAAUUCCAGGCGGAGGCCCUCUGUCUUUGACAGCUGGCUCUAGGGUUUAGCUGUUUAGGUUUUUUUGCUCAUGACUACUGGGAUCUGCUCUGCUCAGGAACGAUCCUCCCAUAAUGUGGACGUGGCCGAGGGCUUGGGUGGAACCUUGCAGUGGCGUCAGGGGCUUGCCCUCCAGGGACCCCACUCAGUGGGGCCUCUUACCAUCUAUUGACCAGGCUGUUUUUACAGAGGCACAGGGAGAGAGGCUAAUGGGCAGAAGACGGACAGUAAUGCCGACGGUUUUUGUCGGUAGCAAUGCAAAUGAAUUUUGUCUGGUAGAGAUACAAUUGAUUUCCUUUCUAUAAGAAAGUGUAACCACAAGCAUCAUUUUGUUAUUGGCCUGGAGGACAUUUAGCAGCUUUAUGCCUAUUAGCAAGUUCAUUCCAGAUUCCAACCGCCUAUGCGCACCUUGCGCUCCACGUGUGCUGUUGAACAAGUCGAUAUCUUAUGUCUCCCUCCUUUAUUGAUGAGUUAAACAUGCUCUUUGACAUGUGUUGAAUUUAUUUUUACAUGGAAGUCAUAUACAUCUAGCCUACCCUGUCACUCCGCAAACUCAGGACAUGCCUUUGGCCAUAUAGUCUCUGUUUUUCGAUUAAUCUCUGAACUUCUCAGUACCUCAAGGGCGUGAAGCACAGCCUCUCCC